rnacentral:rRNA from 1 species
UUUGCGCAUGGNCGACAGUCUGACGCAGCGACGCCGCGUGGGGGAUGAAGGUCUUCGGAUUGUAAACCCCUUUCGGGAGGGAAGAUGGAACGGGCAACCGUUCGGACGGUACCUCCAGAAGCAGCCACGGCUAACUUCGUGCCAGCAGCCGCGGUAAUACGAAGGUGGCAAGCGUUGUUCGGAUUCACUGGGCGUACAGGGAGCGUAGGCGGUUGGGUAAGCCCUUCGUGAAAUCUCCGGGCCUAACCCGGAAAGUGCGGAGGGGACUGCUCAGCUAGAGGAUGGGAGAGGAGCGCAGGAAUUCCCGGUGUAGCGGUGAAAUGCGUAGAGAUCGGGAGGAAGGCCGGUGGCNGAAGGCGGCGCUCUGGAACAUUUCUGACGCUGAGGCUCGAAAGCGUGGGGAGCAAACAGGAUUAGAUACCCUGGUAGUCCACGCCUUAAACGAUGGAUACUAANUGUCGGCGGGUUACCGCCGGUGCCGCAGCUAACGCAGUAAGUAUCCCGCCUGGGAAGUACGGCCGCAAGGUUGAAACUCAAAAAAAUUGACGGA